rnacentral:rRNA from 1 species
GGAUUAGAUACCCUGGUAGUCCUUGCCGUAAACGAUGUGUACUUGAUGUAGUUGGGCUCAACCCUGACUGUAUCGUAGCUAACGCGAUAAGUACACCGCCUGAGGAGUACGCUCGCAAGGGUGAAACUCAAAAGAAUUGACGGGGGCCCGCACAAGCAGUGGAGCAUGUGGUUUAAUUCGAUGCAACGCGAAGAACCUUACCUGGGCUCGAAAUGUAGGUGGCGAUAACAGAGAUGUUAUCUUCCGCAAGGACACCUAUAUAGGUGCUGCAUGGCUGUCGUCAGCUCGUGCCG